rnacentral:rRNA from 1 species
UUCCGGUUGAUCCUGCCGGACCCCACUGCUAUCGGGAUGGGACUAAGACAUGCUAGUCGAGCGUCUCCAAGCUAUGGAAGAGACGCGGCACACAGCUCAGUAACACGUGGCUAACCUGCCCUUGGGACAAGGACAACUCCGGGAAACUGGGGCUAAUCCCUGAUAAGUGAGAACUCCUGGAAUGGAUUCUCGCUCAAAGGACGUCUAGACCAUGCUUCUAGGCGUCGCCCAAGGAGGGGGCCGCGACCGAUCAGGUUGUUGGUGAGGUAACGGCUCACCAAGCCUUUAACCGGUACGGGCCGUGAGAGCGGAAGCCCGGAGAUGGGCACUGAGACAAGGGCCCAGGCCCUACGGGGCGCAGCAGUCGCGAAAACUCCGCAAUACACGAAAGUGUGACGGGGCCAUCCCGAGUGCCAUCCGCUGAGGAUGGCUUUUCCCCAGUGUAUAAAGCUGGGGGAAUAAGGAGAGGGCAAGCCUGGCGUCAGCCGCCGCGGUAAUACCAGCUCUCCGAGUGGUGGGGAUGUUUAUUGGGCCUAAAGCAUUCGUAGCCUGCUUGACAAGUCCUCCGUUAAAUCCAACGAUCCAAUCGUUGGGCUGCGGGGGAUACUGUCCAGCUAGGGGGCGGGAGAGGCCGACGGUAUCCCCGGGGUAGGGGUGAAAUCCUAUAAUCCCGGGAGGACCACCAGUGGCGAAGGCUGUCGGCUAGAACGCGCUCGACGGUGAGGGAUGAAAGCUGGGGGAGCGAACCGGAUUAGAUACCCGGGUAGUCCCAGCUGUAAACGAUGCAGGCUAGGUGUCGGCGCGGCUACGUGCCGCUCCAGUGCCGCAGGAAAGCCGUUAAGCCUGCCGCCUGGGAAGUACGGCCGCAAGGCUGAAAUUUAAAGGAAUUGGCGGGGGAGCACCACAAGGUGUGAAGCUUGCGGUUUAAUUGGAGUCAACGCCGGGAAUCA